rnacentral:rRNA from 1 species
UACGAAGGGGGCUAGCGUUGCUCGGAAUCACUGGGCGUAAAGCGCACGUAGGCGGGUCCUUAAGUCAGGGGUGAAAUCCCGGAGCUCAACUCCGGAACUGCCUUUGAUACUGGGGAUCUUGAGUCCGGAAGAGGUGAGUGGAACUCCGAGUGUAGAGGUGAAAUUCGUAGAUAUUCGGAAGAACACCAGUGGCGAAGGCGACUCGCUGGACAAGUAUUGACGCUGAGGUGCGAAAGCGUGGGGAGCAAACAGG